AAAUUGAAGAGUUUGAUCAUGGCUCAGAUUGAACGCUGGCGGCAGGCCUAACACAUGCAAGUCGAACGGUAGCACAGAGAGCUUGCUCUCGGGUGACGAGUGGCGGACGGGUGAGUAAUGUCUGGGAAACUGCCUGAUGGAGGGGGAUAACUACUGGAAACGGUGGCUAAUACCGCAUAACGUCGCAAGACCAAAGAGGGGGACCUUCGGGCCUCUUGCCAUCAGAUGUGCCCAGAUGGGAUUAGCUAGUUGGUGAGGUAACGGCUCACCAAGGCGACGAUCCCUAGCUGGUCUGAGAGGAUGACCAGCCACACUGGAACUGAGACACGGUCCAGACUCCUA
rnacentral:rRNA from 1 species